GACGAACGCUGGCGGCGUGCCUAAUACAUGCAAGUAGAACGCUGAAGGAGGAGCUUGCUUCUCCGGAUGAGUUGCGAACGGGUGAGUAACGCGUAGGUAACCUGCCUGGUAGCGGGGGAUAACUAUUGGAAACGAUAGCUAAUACCGCAUAACAGUAGAUGUUGCAUGACAUUUGCUUAAAAGGUGCAAUUGCAUCACUACCAGAUGGACCUGCGUUGGAUUAGCUAGUUGGUGAGGUAACGGCUCACCAAGGCGACGAUACAUAGCCGACCUGAGAGGGUGAUCGGCCACACUGGGACUGAGACACGGCCCAGACUCCUACGGGAGGCAGCAGUAGGGAAUCUUCGGCAAUGGACGGAAGUCUGACCGAGCAACGCCGCGUGAGUGGAGAAGGUUUUCGGAUCGUAAAGCUCUGUUGUAAGAGAAGAACGAGUGGGGGAGUGGAAAGUGCACACUGUGACGGUAUCUUACCAGAAAGGGACGGCUAACUACGUG
rnacentral:rRNA from 1 species